rnacentral:rRNA from 1 species
GACGAACGCUGGCGACGCGCUUAACACAUGCAAGUCGAACGGAAAGGCCUGCUUUCCCUUGUGGAUUGCGGGUACUCGAGUGGCGAACGGGUGAGUAACACGUGAGUGAUCUGCCCCCAACUUGGGUAUAAGCCUGGGAAACUGGGUCUAAUUCCCGAUAGGACUGCAGGGUGGUGCCUGUGGUGGAAAACGAUUUUCUAGUGGUUGGGGAUGAGCUCGCGGCCUAUCAGCUUGUUGGUGGGGUAAUGGCCUACCAAGGCGGCGACGGGUAGCCGGCCUGAGAGGGUGGACGGCCACAUUGGGACUGAGAUACGGCCCAGACUCCUACGGGAGGCAGCAGUGGGGAAUAUGGCACAAUGGGCGGAAGCCUGAUGCAGCGACGCCGCGUGGGGGAUGACGGCCUUCGGGUUGUAAACUCCUUUCGACCGCGAGGAAGCCACCUGGUUGGAAGGGUGGUGACGGUAGUGGUAGAAGAAGCACCGGCUAACUACGUG